AUCGCUCGUAUCUGGUCGGUACCGACGGGGAAUUCGGUGUGUCGGAGGUUAUAUACUAUACACGGAGGCCCCGAUGACGAUGACGCGGCCAGAACGCAAAUCCGUGGCAUCAUUCCCACUCGGCGGGGCGGAAAACGCCCCGAGAUGUGCGGGUUAAGUGGUUUCUUUGCCUGGGACACGCAGUAAGCACAGGCAAUCGGUGGUGGGUACUUCCAAAUACAGGCGAUUGCAGUACAGUCGAAAUACAUUUCCGAAAACGUAUACCUCCUAUUAAAAAUGCAUGUAUCUGAACAGUUUAAAUCGGCUACUGUAGCCAAUGACUCACUAAAUCCUGGUCAUGUUAUUAUCCAAAAUACAGGCAUUUCAUUGGGCAA